AGUGCUGGGAUUACAGGCGUGAGCCACCGCGCCUGGCCUAUUGUUGUUUUUAAUUCAUAUAAAGCUCUACACAUAGUGGAUGCUUAAUUCGUGACAAUCCCUGGGAGCCCCAAAUGCUCCUUCUAGGAUAAAAGAGCAUCUGAAAGAGAGUGAUACCACAACCCCCCUACGGCGUCUUUCUAGCUAGAGCUCCACAGUUUCUGACAUUGAAAAGGAUGCCUCAUCCCCAUCUCCAGACUGGAAGACAGCAGCUACUUCAUACUGUGGCAUCUUAAACUGUCUGGAUUUGUAACACCUGAUUUUUUUAUUUAUUUAUUUUUUUUUUUGAGACAGUCUCGUUCUGUCGCCCAGGCUGGAGUGCAGUGGCGCAAUCUUGGCUCGCUGCAAGUUCUGCCUCCUGGGUUCACGCCAUUCUCCUGCCUCAGUCUCCCAAGUAGCUGGGACUACAGGCACCUGCCACCGUGCCCGGCUGAUUUUUUUUCUCUUUUUGUAUUUUUGGUAGAGAUGGGGUUUCACUGUGUUGGCCAGGAUGGCCUCGAUCUCCUGACCUCGUGAUCCGCCCGCCUUGGCCUCCCAAAGUGCUGGGAUUACAGGCGUGAGCCACCAUGCCCGGCCUGUAACACCUGAUUAUUUAGGAUGGGAUUUUCUGCUCCUCUCCACAUAUAAUUGACUCCAGGAAGAAUUCCCUAGUGGUCCUUCAGUUCCCCAGAUUCUCCUUUCAUUUUCUGGAAUCUCAGGCAUCCUUAUCCCAAUCAAAACCUGUUCCAAGGAAAUUAUUUGACUUCUCAUUUACACUAGGGUGAUAACAGGCCGAUAAUUGCCUAAUUGUUAUUCUUUUCUGAGCUAGCUUCAUUUUCUAACUUAAUAAUAGCUACAAGCAUCAGACAAUUACUGUGUGCCAGUCUUAGCUAAGCACUUUAUGAAACUUAUCUGUUUUAAAAUGGAUAGACCUUGGGCAAAAUAAUGUAAAAGUCCCUGAUAAGAUUCUGGCCACAGGCAAUCAAUGGAGGAAGUUUGUAGGGAACAAAGUCAAAAAGGUAGAGCUCUGUUCUUUCAGCCCAAAGAAUGGCCUUGCUCAAGUCUAGACCUCACUUGCAUAUAUAUAUAUAUUAUAUAAUUUAUUAAUUAAUUAAUUAAUUAUAUAUUUAAUAUAUUAUAUAUAAUAUAUAUUAUAUAUUAUAUAUAUCAAGCAG
rnacentral:lncRNA from 1 species